rnacentral:lncRNA from 1 species
UGAGCAUCCGAAGAAUAAAAAUAAGCAAUCCUUUUUAACGAUAUAUAUUUGUACUCCUGCGGGAAAAUAAAUAGCACAUUCAUGUUAUGUCGAUCUUUUCACUUAUGUGGCGGGUCCCAAGAUUAAAGAUAACCACGUUAUGUAUCAUAGAGAAUACAAACAGAUAAUUGGUUGCUAUUGACUUACAUGAAAAAGCAGACAACAAAUGAAUAUAGUUAAGAUGUAGACAGCAGAGAAAUGAAUCCACAGCCUGACAAAA